GGGCCCGUAGCCUAGCAUGGAUUGGGGCGCAGGCCUGCGGAGCCUGAGGUCGCGGGUUCAAAUCCCGCCGGGCCCGCCA
rnacentral:tRNA from 1 species